UACGUAGGCAGCAAGCGUUGUUCGGAGUUACUGGGCGUAAAGGGUGCGUAGGCGGCUUUUUAAGUUUGGUGUGAAAUCUCCCGGCUCAACUGGGAGGGUGCGCCGAAUACUGAGAGGCUAGAGUGUGGGAGAGGAAAGUGGAAUUCCUGGUGUAGCGGUGAAAUGCGUAGAUAUCGGGAAGAACACCCGGGGCGAAGGCGGCUCUCUGGGACGGUACUGACGCUGAGACGCGAAAGCGUGGGG
rnacentral:rRNA from 1 species